ACGAACGCUGGCGGCGUGCUUAACACAUGCAAGUCGAACGGAAAGGCCCUGCUUUUGUGGGGUGCUCGAGUGGCGAACGGGUGAGUAACACGUGAGUAACCUGCCCUUGACUUUGGGAUAACUUCAGGAAACUGGGGCUAAUACCGGAUAGGAGCUCCUGCUGCAUGGUGGGGGUUGGAAAGUUUCGGCGGUUGGGGAUGGACUCGCGGCUUAUCAGCUUGUUGGUGGGGUAGUGGCUUACCAAGGCUUUGACGGGUAGCCGGCCUGAGAGGGUGACCGGCAAAAUGGGACUGGGGUUCCGGCCCGGAUCCUACGGGAGGGAAGAGGGGGGAAAUAUGGAAAAAGGGGGGGAGCCUGAUGGCACCACGCCGGCGGGGGGGAUGAGGGCUUUGGGUUUGAAACCGCUUUCGCCUGUGACGAAGCGUGAGUGACGGUAAUGGGUAAAGAAGCACCGGCUAACUACGUG
rnacentral:rRNA from 1 species